GAUCCUGGCUCAGGAUGAACGCUAGCGGCAGGCUUAACACAUGCAAGUCGAGGGGCAGCAUAAUGGAUAGCAAUAUCUAUGGUGGCGACCGGCGCACGGGUGCGUAACGCGUAUGCAACCUACCUUUAACAGGGGGAUAACACUGAGAAAUUGGUACUAAUACCCCAUAAUAUCAUAGAAGGCAUCUUUUAUGGUUGAAAUUCCGUAUGGUUAGAGAUGGGCAUGCGUUGUUA
rnacentral:rRNA from 1 species